CCAAAACAAAUAAUUAAAGAGACAGAGACGCAAAAAUUUAAAACAAGAUUUUUUUGUAUUUAGUUUUUAUAAGCGUUUAGUGAAAAGGCUUCUUUAUGUGUCAUAGAGGACAAACGAUCAGACCGUCUAUAAGACGAUGAGUUGUCAGCGUCGACCAUUGACAUUUGCAACACAAACUUGGGAAAUACAAGUAUGUUGCCGGUCUUUGAGAGAGGAACACCAACAUACCUACAACAUCGAACGAUCCGACCGAUUUACAAGCAGAGCAUAGCUUUCAUUUAACCUGACUACGAGGUGUAAACUCAAGGUUAUGGAAAUUUAUGGACCGACGUCGAGACACUUGCAUGGCGACAAAGAAGGCACAAGGCACACAACUAGGUCUUUGCACAACUAUAUGAUGACCUCUUUCCUUAAGACGGCAGCCCAAAACAAAACUAUCUUCAAUAAAUUAUUAGGGUUUCGUUUGAAACUAACAUAAAAGAAAAACUUUCAAACACCAAAGUUCGUAACAGAAUGUCCUAGACUUCUAUUAGUUAUCUUAUAACCUGUUCAUAGACUUGUUGAUAUAUUUAUUUUCUUGUUUGUUAAUACCCUAUAUUUAUCUAGGAAGUCCAUUUGUCGUGGAAGGCUAUAGUUUAAAUACAAUCACCUCACCACGGAUUAAAGUGGAUAAUUCCAUAAAAAUAUAUCUAUAUAAUAAAUAUUUAAAAGUAUUUAAAACUACAAAAAAUGUCAAAAAAUAAUUAUAAAAUCACAACAUACUUAUAUAUAAAAACAUAAUACCUUCAUCUAAGGUUACCAUUUCAUUCUUUUGGACACAAUGUAAUUUUUCAAAAUCCUUAGGAGAGACACCUUUCAAAUAUUCCACUAUACGUAAUUAACAUACUCUUGCAGUAAUUAUAAUUUCCUUGAUUUUGCGACGCUGUCAAGAGUCUUAAAGUGUACUAGUCUUAGUAGAACGCACAAGUACACGUAGCCAAAUGUAAGACAAUCGUCCGUCGUCUUUAAUCGAACUUACACUCUCGGAAGACGUUGAAAAUAUGAGUCACUGAAGCAACCUCAGAAAGAUUAUACAAUACCUUGUUUUAUUAUAAAAGUUACAUCUUAUAAUAACUUGAUUCAGUCACGAAAAAAAUUAAGAUCCGAUUAUUUCAAUUAAGACUAUGUCUGAAACGGUAAAGGGGCAUUUGUUAUAUCGUUGCAAUUACCGAAAGGAAAAUAUGUUUUCAAUGAGCGUUUCAAAAUUACCUCAUAAAAGCUGUAUUCUUCUCCUUACCUGAGUAAAUCACUUUUGGAUAUAAUCAAAACUAUAUCGAAUUUGCCAAUUUGUGGACUUGAUUCCUGAUUACAGGCAUCAAGUUUAACGAAAAUAUAAAAUUACAAAAGGCGAGAUUAUAUCUAUGGAAAUACAGUAUUUAUCAGAAUUAAGAAUAUGAAGAAAAAAUAGUUAAAACAGUUUAUCAAAUAUAUUAACAAAGCUUAACAGAGUUGUUUGUUGACCUUCGUUAAAAAUUCAAAUAUUAACUGCAAUUGUGAGGGAACUAAACUAUUGCUUGUUUGGCUCAUGAUAGCAUUUACCAGGAAAUUAGUACAUUAAAAAUAGGCUUUAAAAUUGACUUACAUUUUAUCGUUUUAUCUCAAGUGGCUCGUCUCUGGUGCACUUCAAAGGUUUUAUCUAUUUCCAGUAAAGUAAGAAGAUUUGAGUACUUCAGCUGUUAAAUCGUUUUAUAAUGGAAUAUUUCCGUCAACAUUUCAAUCUCACUGAAAAGUGGUCUAAUAAUAACAUCAUAAGCGGAUCUGCUAUAUGUAUAAAAUAAUAAAUUUAAUUAGUAUUAAAAUAUAAUAAGUAAAUAACAUUUACAUUAAUUCGA